GACGGACGCUGGCGGCGUGCUUAACACAUGCAAGUCGAACGGUAAGGCCCUUCGGGGUACACGAGUGGCGAACGGGUGAGUAACACGUGGGUGAUCUGCCCUGCACUUCGGGAUAAGCCUGGGAAACUGGGUCUAAUACCGGAUAGGACCACUGCCUGCAUGGGUGGUGGUGGAAAGCUUUUGCGGUGUGGGAUGGGCCCGCGGCCUAUCAGCUUGUUGGUGGGGUGAUGGCCUACCAAGGCGACGACGGGUAGCCGGCCUGAGAGGGUGACCGGCCAAACGGGGACUGAGAUACGGCCCAGACUCCUACGGGAGGCAGAAGUGGGGAAUAUUGCACAAUGGGCGCAAGCCUGAUGCAGCGACGCCGCGUGAGGGAUGACGGCCUUCGGGUUGUAAACCUCUUUCAGCACCGACGAAGCGCAAGUGACGGUAGGUGCAGAAGAAGGACCGGCCAACUACGUGCCAGCCGCCGCCGUAA
rnacentral:rRNA from 1 species